CUAAGAAUCUUCCGCAAUGGACGAAAGUCUGACGGAGCGAUGCCGCGUGGAUGAAGAAUGCAGAGAUGUUGUAAAAUCCUUUUAUGAGUGAGGAAUAAUAGGUAUAGGAAAUGAUACUUAGAUGACGUUAGCUCAUGAAUAAGCUCCGGCCAAUUACGUGCCAGCAGCCGCGGUAACACGUAAGGAGCGAGCGUUGUUCGGAAUUAUUGGGCGUAAAGGGCGUGUAGGCGGUUAAUUAAGUCUUGUUUGAAAGACCGAUGCUCAACAUCGGAAACGGACAGGAAACUGAUUAACUAGAAUCCGGUAGGGAAAUGUGGAAUUUCUAGUGUAGGGGUGAAAUCUGUUGAUAUUAGAAAGAACACCAAUGGCGAAGGCAACAUUUUGGGCCUGGAUUGACGCUGAGGCGCGAAAGCAUAGGGAGCAAACAGGAUUAGAUACCCUGGUAGUCUAUGCCGUAAGCUUUGUACACUUGGUGUCGGGGGUCAAACCUCGGUACCGAAGCUAACGCGAUAAGUGUACCGCCUGGGGAGUAUGCCCGGCAACGGUGAAACUCAAA
rnacentral:rRNA from 1 species